GCAAUAUCGGUUUUACGCGCGGCAACCGCACCGUCUUCCUGUCGAUCCUUGGCAUCUCGUGGUUCUGGUUCUACGGCGCACUCUUCCUGUCGCAGUUCCCCGGCUACGCGAAGGACGUGCUC
rfam:Azoarcus sp. KH32C DNA, complete genome.